rnacentral:rRNA from 1 species
CAGCAGCCGCGGUAACACGGAGGGAGCUAGCGUUGUUCGGAAUUACUGGGCGUAAAGCGCGCGUAGGCGGUUACUCAAGUCAGAGGUGAAAGCCCGGGGCUCAACCCCGGAACUGCCUUUGAAACUAGGUGACUAGAAUCUUGGAGAGGUCAGUGGAAUUCCGAGUGUAGAGGUGAAAUUCGUAGAUAUUCGGAAGAACACCAGCGGCGAAGGCGACUGACUGGACAAGUAUUGACGCUGAGGUGCGAAAGCGUGGGGAGCAAACAGGAUUAGAUACCCGCGUAGUCCCUGUCUCUUAUAC